UACGUAGGGCGCAAGCGUUGUCCGGAAUUAUUGGGCGUAAAGAGCUCGUAGGCGGCCUGUCGCGUCUGCUGUGAAAUCCCGGGGCUUAACCCCGGGCGUGCAGUGGAUACGGGCUGGCUGGAGGCAGGCAGGGGAGAAUGGAAUUCCCGGUGUAGCGGUGAAAUGCGCAGAUAUCGGGAGGAACACCGGUGGCGAAGGCGGUUCUCUGGGCCUGUACUGACGCUGAGGAGCGAAAGCGUGGGGAGCGAACAGG
rnacentral:rRNA from 1 species